ACGAUCAAGGGGGCAAAGCCUCGGUCUUCAUAGAAAAGGAGAGGAGGCAAGCGCAGCCCAAACUGGGGGGUUUCUCUUCAAAGCCAGCUGGUCUGGCUUUGUUCUACAGGAAUUUUUUACCUGUCAGAGUUUGGACAACAAAGCCCUCAGCAGGUGCUGACGGGAACAACUUCCUGGAGAAGCAGAAAGGCACUGCCCUUCCUUUCUUCCAUUUUUCCUGUCUUGUUGAGAAAGGAUCUUCCAAUGCAAUCCAGGCUGGCCUCAAACACCAGGCAAUACUCAUGCCUCAGCCUUCCAACUGCUUGGAUUAUAGACAAAGGCCAUCAUACCUGAUUUCUGCGGAGCCUUUUAAAAUGAAGAUGCCUAAGCCAUGCAUAGUAGUUCCCGGUUGCACUCAGAACACUGACGGCUGAGGCAGAGCUCUACAAGUAUGAGAACAAUCUGUGCAUAGCAAGUUACAAGCCAGCCAUGACUACACAACGAGACUCUCUCAAAUUUGUUUUUAGUUUUGUUCUUUUGGUUUGUUUAUUUGUUGUUGUUUGAGAAAUUAAAUAAAUUUUGAAG
rnacentral:lncRNA from 1 species